rnacentral:rRNA from 1 species
GGUUAAGCGACUAAGCGUACACGGUGGAUGCCCUGGCAGUCAGAGGCGAUGAAGGACGUGCUAAUCUGCGAAAAGCGUCGGUAAGGUGAUAUGAACCGUUAUAACCGGCGAUGUCCGAAUGGGGAAACCCAGUGCAAUUCGUUGCACUAUCGUUAACUGAAUACAUAGGUUAACGAGGCGAACCGGGGGAACUGAAACAUCUAAGUACCCCGAGGAAAAGAAAUCAACCGAGAUUCCCCCAGUAGCGGCGAGCGAACGGGGAGCAGCCCAGAGUCUGAAUCAGCUUGUGUGUUAGUGGAACGGUCUGGAAAGUCCGACGGUACAGGGUGAUAGUCCCGUACACCAAAAUGCACAGGCUGUGAACUCGAAGAGUAGGGCGGGACACGUGGUAUCCUGUCUGAAUAUGGGGGGACCAUCCUCCAAGGCUAAAUACUCCUGACUGACCGAUAGUGAACCAGUACCGUGAGGGAAAGGCGAAAAGAACCCCGGCGAGGGGAGUGAAAAAGAACCUGAAACCGUGUACGUACAAGCAGUGGGAGCACCUUCGGGUGUGACUGCGUACCUUUUGUAUAAUGGGUCAGCGACUUAUAUUCUGUAGCAAGGUUAACCGUAUAGGGGAGCCGCAGGGAAACCGAGUCUUAACUGGGCGUUAAGUUGCAGGGUAUAGACCCGAAACCCGGUGAUCUAGCCAUGGGCAGGUUGAAGGUUGGGUAACACUAACUGGAGGACCGAACCGACUAAUGUUGAAAAAUUAGCGGAUGACUUGUGGCUGGGGGUGAAAGGCCAAUCAAACCGGGAGAUAGCUGGUUCUCCCCGAAAGCUAUUUAGGUAGCGCCUCGUGAACUCAUCUUCGGGGGUAGAGCACUGUUUCGGCUAGGGGGUCAUCCCGACUUACCAACCCGAUGCAAACUACGAAUACCGAAGAAUGUUAUCACGGGAGACACACGGCGGGUGCUAACGUCCGUCGUGAAGAGGGAAACAACCCAGACCGCCAGCUAAGGUCCCAAAGUCAUGGUUAAGUGGGAAACGAUGUGGGAAGGCACAGACAGCCAGGAUGUUGGCUUAGAAGCAGCCAUCAUUUAAAGAAAGCGUAAUAGCUCACUGGUCGAGUCGGCCUGCGCGGAAGAUGUAACGGGGCUAAACCAUGCACCGAAGCUGCGGCAGCGACACUAUGUGUUGUUGGGUAGGGGAGCGUUCUGUAAGCCUGCGAAGGUGACCUGUGAGGGUUGCUGGAGGUAUCAGAAGUGCGAAUGCUGACAUAAGUAACGAUAAAGCGGGUGAAAAGCCCGCUCGCCGGAAGACCAAGGGUUCCUGUCCAACGUUAAUCGGGGCAGGGUGAGUCGACCCCUAAGGCGAGGCCGAAAGGCGUAGUCGAUGGGAAACAGGUUAAUAUUCCUGUACUUGGUGUUACUGCGAAGGGGGGACGGAGAAGGCUAUGUUAGCCGGGCGACGGUUGUCCCGGUUUAAGCAUGUAGGCUGAUUGUCCAGGCAAAUCCGGAUAAUCAAGGCUGAGGUGUGAUGACGAGGCACUACGGUGCUGAAGUAACAAAUGCCCUGCUUCCAGGAAAAGCCUCUAAGCAUCAGGUAACAUUAAAUCGUACCCCAAACCGACACAGGUGGUCAGGUAGAGAAUACCAAGGCGCUUGAGAGAACUCGGGUGAAGGAACUAGGCAAAAUGGUGCCGUAACUUCGGGAGAAGGCACGCUGGUGUGUAGGUGAAGUCCCUGCGGAUGGAGCUGAGACCAGUCGAAGAUACCAGCUGGCUGCAACUGUUUAUUAAAAACACAGCACUGUGCAAACACGAAAGUGGACGUAUACGGUGUGACGCCUGCCCGGUGCCGGAAGGUUAAUUGAUGGGGUUAUCCGUAAGGAGAAGCUCUUGAUCGAAGCCCCGGUAAACGGCGGCCGUAACUAUAACGGUCCUAAGGUAGCGAAAUUCCUUGUCGGGUAAGUUCCGACCUGCACGAAUGGCGUAAUGAUGGCCAGGCUGUCUCCACCCGAGACUCAGUGAAAUUGAACUCGCUGUGAAGAUGCAGUGUACCCGCGGCAAGACGGAAAGACCCCGUGAACCUUUACUAUAGCUUGACACUGAACAUUGAGCCUUGAUGUGUAGGAUAGGUGGGAGGCUUUGAAGCGUGGACGCCAGUCUGCGUGGAGCCAACCUUGAAAUACCACCCUUUAAUGUUUGAUGUUCUAACGUUGGCCCCUGACCGGGGUUGCGGACAGUGUCUGGUGGGUAGUUUGACUGGGGCGGUCUCCUCCCAAAGCGUAACGGAGGAGCACGAAGGUUAGCUAAUCCUGGUCGGACAUCAGGAGGUUAGUGCAAUGGCAUAAGCUAGCUUGACUGCGAGCGUGACGGCGCGAGCAGGUGCGAAAGCAGGUCAUAGUGAUCCGGUGGUUCUGAAUGGAAGGGCCAUCGCUCAACGGAUAAAAGGUACUCCGGGGAUAACAGGCUGAUACCGCCCAAGAGUUCAUAUCGACGGCGGUGUUUGGCACCUCGAUGUCGGCUCAUCACAUCCUGGGGCUGAAGUAGGUCCCAAGGGUAUGGCUGUUCGCCAUUUAAAGUGGUACGCGAGCUGGGUUUAGAACGUCGUGAGACAGUUCGGUCCCUAUCUGCCGUGGGCGCUGGAGAAUUGAGGGGGCUGCUCCUAGUACGAGAGGACCGGAGUGGACGCAUCACUGGUGUUCGGGUUGUCAUGCCAAUGGCACUGCCCGGUAGCUAAAUGCGGAAGAGAUAAGUGCUGAAAGCAUCUAAGCACGAAACUUGCCCCGAGAUGAGUUCUCCCUGAGACUUUAAGUCUCCUGAAGGAACGUUAAAGACGAUGACGUUGAUAGGCCGGGUGUGUAAGCGCAGCGAUGCGUUGAGCUAACCGGUACUAAUGAACCGUGAGGCUUAACCUU